rnacentral:rRNA from 1 species
UACGUAGGGUCCGAGCGUUGUCCGGAAUUAUUGGGCGUAAAGGGCUCGUAGGCGGUCUGUCGCGUCGGGAGUGAAAACUUACAGCUUAACUGUGAGCGUGCUUCCGAUACGGGCAGACUUGAGGUAUUCAGGGGAGAACGGAAUUCCUGGUGUAGCGGUGAAAUGCGCAGAUAUCAGGAGGAACACCGGUGGCGAAGGCGGUUCUCUGGGCAUUACCUGACGCUGAGGAGCGAAAGUGUGGGGAGCGAACAGG